rnacentral:rRNA from 1 species
GAGCGAACGGGGAGGAGCCUGGCGUGAUUUAUUAUUGAAUUGAGUAGAACAACUUGGGAAGGUUGGCCAUAGAGGGUGAAAGCCCCGUAUACGAAGGUUUGAUGAGGAACUAGGCACGCGAGCAAGUAGGCCGGGACACGUGAAAUCCUGGUUGAAGAUGGGUGGACCAUCAUCCAAGGCUAAAUACUACUUACUGACCGAUAGUGAACCAGUACCGUGAGGGAAAGGUGAAAAGAACCCCGGAGAGGGGAGUGAAAUAGAAUCUGAAACCGUUUGCGUACAAGCAGUGGGAGCAUGGUUUAGGCUGUGUGACUGCGUACCUUUUGUAUAAUGGGUCAGCGAGUUACUUUCAGUGGCGAGGUUAACUGCAUAAGGGAGCCGUAGAGAAAUCGAGUCUGAAUAGGGCGAUAGUCGCUGGGAGUAGACCCGAAACCGGGCGAUCUAGCCAUGUGCAGGAUGAAGGUUGGGUAACACCAACUGGAGGUCCGAACCGGGUAAUGUUGAAAAAUUAUCGGAUGACGUGUGGCUAGGAGUGAAAGGCUAAUCAAGCCCGGAGAUAGCUGGUUCUCCCCGAAAGCUAUUUAGGUAGCGCCUCGUGAAUGAUUACUGGGGGUAGAGCACUGUUUCGGCUAGGGGGCUGUCAUGGCUUACCAAACCGAUGCAA